rnacentral:snRNA from 1 species
UUACUUACCUGGCAGGGGAGACACCAUAAUCAAGAAGGGACCUUUCCCAGGGUGAGGCUCAACCAUGUCCCUUGGGGUCUGACUGGCCCCUGCUAUUUCCCCAAUCAUGGGAAAUUUGACUGGAAUUUGUGAUUAAAAGAAAUACUAUGCAAUGUUUUCUUU